rnacentral:rRNA from 1 species
CCUACGGGAGGCAGCAGUGGGGGAUAUUGCACAAUGGGGGGAACCCUGAUGCAGCGACGCCGCGUGGGUGAAGGAGCGUUUCGGCGCGUAAAGCCCUAUCGGCAGGGAAGAAGGAGGACGGUACCUGACUAAGAAGCCCCGGCUAACUACGUGCCAGCAGCCGCGGUAAUACGUAGGGGGCAAGCGUUAUCCGGAUGUACUGGGUGUAAAGGGGGCGCAGACGGCAGCGCAAGCCAGGAGUGAACGCCGGGGGCCCAACCCCGGGACUGCUCUUGGAACUGCGCGGCUGGAGUGCAGGAGGGGCAGGCGGAAUUCCUGGUGUAGCGGUGAAAUGCGUAGAUAUCAGGAGGAACACCGGUGGCGAAGGCGGCCUGCUGGACUGCGACUGACGUUGAGGCCCGAAAGCGUGGGGAGCAAACAGGAUUAGAUACCCGAGUAGUC